UACGUAGGUGGCAAGCGUUGUCCGGAUUUACUGGGCGUAAAGGGCGUGCAGGCGGUCUGUUAAGUGCAGGGUGAAAGCUCCCGGCUCAACUGGGAGAGGUCCUUGCAUACUGGCGGACUUGAGGGGGGUAGAGGAAAGUGGAAUUCCCGGUGUAGUGGUGAUAUGCGUAGAUAUCGGGAGGAACACCUGUGGCGAAGGCGGCUUCUGGGUCCCUACCUGACGCUGAGACGCGAAAAGCGUGGGGGAAGCGA
rnacentral:rRNA from 1 species